rnacentral:misc_RNA from 1 species
GCUGUGCGGCGAACGCACCCGAACGCGAUCUUUAUUCAACGCGAGCGCGCCGUCAGUCCGGAGGUGACCGCGGGCGGGGCGGCACGUGCUGUGCACGCCUCGCGACAUUACAUUGUGUUUAUGUACGCCAUUGUUUUAAUUCAAUCCGUCUACAAUCAAUACGACAUCGGAGUGAAAACUCGGCCUAUUUGCUGCAUUCACUAGAAUCUAGUGCGAUAACAGUGACAGUAAAAUUUUGUCUGUAAGAAGAUUAGAUGCAAGACAGUAUUGACAAGUGAAACUCUAUCGUACAAUUUUGUCAGAAGGAGGUUUUUGUUUGUGACAUUGUUAUUUGACUUAAAAGGUGUUAGUGAUCUGUUGUAUAGGAAAGCAUGCAAAUCAAUAAUCCAGUGAAUGCCCAGCUCUGAAUACCCGAGAGCUCUUACGGUGCGGUGUAUUAUACGGUUGCAUAUUGAUUGGUUCUGUACCGGGAUCACUGGAACUUGUCAUUCAAUUAACGAUCAAACUAGUUGGAGUUCAUUGGUACUAAGAGUGUUGAAGACUGAAGACUUGGCUUAAGAGGACAUCUAAUUUUAACUUAUUUAGAAACAGUGACAAGAACAUCUCGUGAUGGUGCGCUCGGACGACAGUGUGAGGUAGCCGCCGCGCGGUAUACGAAGCAUGGGUGCCAACAUGGGCAAGAACUCGAGCCUGCUCGAUGCGCUGCCCACUGCGCAGGGCACACUGCACGUCGUCAUGCUGGGACUCGACUCCGCCGGCAAGACCACCGCGCUCUACCGGCUCAAGUUCGACCAGUACCUCAACACUGUCCCCACCAUCGGGUUCAACUGCGAAAAAGUCAAAGGCACACUAGGAAAGUCCAAAGGUGUCAACUUCCUAGUAUGGGAUGUCGGUGGGCAAGAAAAGCUACGACCUUUAUGGAAGUCCUACACUAGAUGCACGGACGGCAUCAUUUUUGUGCUAGAUUCAGUAGAUAUAGAACGAAUGGAAGAAGCCAAAAUGGAGUUAAUACGGACGGCAAAGUCUCCGGACAACACGGGCGUGCCGAUCCUCGUGCUUGCGAACAAGCAGGACCUGCCUGGCGCCAAGGAGCCACGCGAGCUGGAGAAGCUGCUGGGGCUGCACGAGCUGGUGUCGUCGCCGCACGGGUCGCGCGACGCGCACGCCUGGCACGUGCAGCCCGCCUGCGCCAUCACCGGCGAGGGCUUGCACGAGGGGCUCGAGGCGCUCUACGAGAUGAUACUCAAAAGAAGAAAAUUAGCCAAGUUGCAGAAAAAACGAGUCAGAUAAACUAUAUUCUGCCGCGUUAGUGUUUGUGACAAGUCAGCCGUGUGCUGCUAACGGUACGGUUCGUGAACGUUAAGUAUUUUAAAAUGCUCACUGUAUGGAUGAUUUUUAUAACGUCCGAGAUAGAAACACCAAAUAUUGUUUUACUAUAGAUGUAUAACGUCUUAUGAAAUAUUCCAUCAUCAUGUUGCUCAAGUUAUAUUGAACAUUUUGAAGGAAACGAAUAUUAUAAAUUAAAUUAACUACUAGUCAUUUUCUUUUGAAAAUAGCUAGGUGGGAGAUAAAGGUAGUGCUACACUAAAUCAUAGAUAUGUCCGUUUGGUACGACCACUUCUGGCUUACAUACAUGGUAAAUUAUAGCUUGUACAAGGCCACUUGAUCCGUGGUCAGCCUAAAUAUGCAAAUCCAACGACAUAUACUUUUUAGAUGGUUUUCAUAGUUUGCAGAACGUGGCUCACACACAAUAUAAUGUGGGACCAUUAGUGUUACAGUAUUUAGGUAACGUUAAUGCGUGGUUGAGAUGCAGUUGCUGGUAAAUAGAUGAAAGUGUCAACUUAUAAAUUAGUAAUGUCUGUGAGAACUCACUAGAUGUAUCUUUCUGAAUGUCAUGCUUUAUAUCAUUUGUGUGUAUUAAAUUAUCUUUUGUGGUGUAAUUUAUUACAAUACUUAAUGGCUAAACUUCGUACUUUUAUCGGAAUAUCUACCUACCUACUGCUGUAUUUUAUCAUAUUUUGUAAAAUAUGAAUGUGUACUUUUCCUUAUGUCCAAUCCUUUCGUACGGCUCUUAAAUCUCUUUAAAUAAUAUUAUGUUACGCAAACACCCGUUCGUUAUUGUUGCCCCAUAUGAUAAAUUAUUUUCUCUGUAUUUCAUGUGUAGCUAAACAUUAGCAUGUAAAGGAUUUACAUUUUAAUGUGAUGUCAUAUAGGCAUUAUUUACAACAUAAUUAUGAAGAGGCUUGUACUAAGUUUAUGUUGGGAGAGCUUCUAGUUUUUGUACAUAUACAUACACAAUUGUAAAUACUGUACGGGAAUAUAUCAUACGAAAUAUACAACGUAAAUAUGUAUGUCUUUCGAAUACAAUCAUUAUUUGGGCUUAUAACUACGGUACUGUCCUAAAAAAUACUUUUGUGUUCAGUUUUAUAUUAGUUUUUGCUUCAUAAGACAUAUAUAUGUAUAUGCAAUGCAAACAAUUUCACUAAUCAAUGAAUUGUUGAGUUCGUCACACAGUCACAACCUGUAACUUUUUGCUUAUUGUUUUGAAUACUGUUACUAUUUAAUUGUAUAACUGAUACAAUAAGAACAUUAGAGCUAUGAUAGCUGUAAAAUUGAAAGACUAGCCCCGGCCAUUAUAAAAGACUUUAGCGUCGAUUAAAGUUUCAAGUAAAAGCUUUAAACUUCUUACAGAAGAAAAUGUUUCGUCAUCAUUGUGUUUAUUAAUAGUUUUAAUUAGUACCUAUUUAUUUAUUUACUCAUAGAGGUAUAACUUAUUACUAAGACAUAUUUGAAUGAAGCUUUUACCAUUUUGUGUUAGGUAUCCACUUUGUAAAUAUGUAAAUUCCAAGUAGUUACUUGUCAAAUACCAUGAAACCAAACAUUUUUAUGAGUAGAGCAUGUAAAUUUUGUUAUUAAAGUAUAUUUGUUUUAUUAUAUCUAUAUACAUCGCGUAUUAUUGUAUUGUGUUUUAUGGAGAUACAUAUACGUUUUUUCAUAUUGAACCCCGUAAAUAAACUGUUUUCAUUAACAAA